ACGGGUGAGUAACACGUAGGCGAUCUACCCUUCAGAGGAGGACAACCUCAGGAAACUGAGGCUAAACCUUCAUACGUUCACUGGUAGGGAUACUGGUGAAGAAAGAGUUACCCCUAGAGGGUAGCUGCUGAAGGAUGAGCCUGCGGCCCAUCAGGUAGUUGGUGAGGUAACGGCUCACCAAGCCGAAGACGGGUAACCGGUCUGAGAGGAUGUCCGGUCACACUGGGACUGAGACACGGCCCAGACUCCUACGGGAGGCAGCAGCAGGGAAUCUUGGGCAAUGGGCGAAAGCCUGACCCAGCGACGCCGCGUGGAGGAAGAAGUCCUUCGGGGCGUAAACUCCUGGACUGGGGGACGAGGAAGGACGGUACCCCAGUAGAAAGGGACGGCUAACUACGUGCCAGCAGCCGCGGUAAAACGUAGGUCCCGAGCGUUGUUCGGAUUCACUGGGUGUAAAGGGCGCGUAGGUGGUUGUCUGUGUCUCAUGUGAAAACUCAGGGCUCAACUCUGAGAUUGCGUGGGAAACUAGGCAGCUAGAGGACGGUAGAGGGGAGUGGAAUUCCCGGUGUAGCGGUAAAAUGCGUAGAUAUCGGGAGGAACACCGGUGGCGAAGGCGGCUCUCUGGGCCGAUCCUGACGCUGAGGCGCGAAAGCUAGGGGAGCGAACCGGAUUAGAUACCCGGGUAGUCCUAGCCGUAAGCGAUGGGUGCUAGGUGUUGGGGGGUAAAGACCCUUCAGUGCCGAAGCCAACGCGAUAAGCAUCCCACCUGGGGAGUACGGCCGCAAGGUUGAAACUCAAAUGAAUUGACGG
rnacentral:rRNA from 1 species